rnacentral:rRNA from 1 species
UACGUAGGGGGCAAGCGUUGUCCGGAAUCAUUGGGCGUAAAGCGCGCGUAGGCGGCCCGAUAAGUCUGCUGUGAAAGUCCAGGGCUCAACCCUGGAAUGCCGGUGGGUACUGUCGGGCUAGAGUUCGGAAGAGGCAAGUGGAAUUCCUGGUGUAGCGGUGGAAUGCGCAGAUAUCAGGAGGAACACCUAUAGCGAAGGCAGCUUGCUGGGACGACACUGACGCUAAGGCGCGAAAGCGUGGGGAGCGAACAGG